CGGUGUUCCCGCGGCUGGCGCAGGGCAAGACCCACGACGAGAUGACGGUGACCUGGACCAGCGGCUACGACGUUAACGAGGCCUACCCGUUCGUGGAGUGGGGCAUGGUCGGCGCCGCCGGAACGCGCACCCCCGCCGGGACACUGACCUUCAACCGCGGCAGCAUGUGCGGUACGUACCUACGGUGCUGCAUGAGGAGCAUCAACUCGAUCAUGCAUGGGCAAGGAGGUUGAAUAUUUACUCUCUUUUUUUUCUGGCUUUGGCUCUUUGUGCAGGCGAGCCGGCACGAACUGUUGGAUGGAGAGAUCCCGGGUUCAUCCACACGGCGUUCAUGAGGAACCUGUGGCCCAACAAAGAGUGCGUACCCUCCGAUUCAUAUCAAUUAUCGCUGAUUUAGUAGUAUCAAAAGGAGUAUCAAAAUCUCUUUAUGUUAAUUCGGUGCUAAUAAGAACUAGAUCGUUCUAAUUCGUCCUUGACAAAGAGCAUGCUCAUAUAUAUAUAUAUAUAUGGCCGGCUUUACUCAAAGAUCAUCUGGUUUGUGAAUUCAGGUACUUUUACAAGAUCGGGCACGAGCUCUCCGACGGAAGCGUGGUGUGGGCCAAGCCCUACACUUUCCGGGCACCGCCAACCCCCGGGCAGAACUCGCUGCAGCGUAUCAUCGUCUUCGGUGACAUGGGAAAGGUAGAAUUUAAAUGUGUCACUCUUGGGGUUUUAUUUUCUUUGAACCAUGCGCAAGAGUUACACGUACGCAUUAGAUAGAAAUAGGAGCGCAAGUUCACUUCACCGGAAAUACAGAUGAUCGAGGGGAAAUAUCCUACAUUCACCACAUAUGGGUGGGUGUUGUUGCACAUGCAUGCUCAAAUCUGAUGGUCCUUCUUCCCUACCCGUCUGUUGUCCGUUUGUAAAUGGAACCGGAACACAUGGUCGUCAGGAAAAGUAAGGAAGAGGAUAGCACUUUUAGGCUAUGUUUGAUUGAGCUGUAGAUUCUAAAAAAGUCACUGUAAAAAUCCUGUUGUAAAAAAACUGUUGUGGAUAAGCUAGAAGCUGAAAAGUUGGGAUACCUUCAGUUUUAAAAUUUAUACUAGGAAAAAGCUACAGAUUAUCAAAAACUGCUUUGAACAUUUACCCGUUUGAUUAGGUUUUAGCUUUUUAAAAUAGAAAUUGAUAAAAAAAAAAAAGAUGAACCAAACACAGCCUUACAGAUGGUACACGUGGUUUGGUCUUAAUUUUCAGGCGGAGAGGGACGGAUCAAACGAGUUCGCCAACUACCAGCCGGGGUCGCUCAACACGACGGACAGGCUGAUUGAAGACCUGGACAACUACGACAUCGUCUUCCACAUCGGCGACAUGCCCUACGCCAACGGGUACCUCUCCCAGU
rnacentral:lncRNA from 1 species